AGUCGAGCGGUAACAGGAAUUAGCUUGCUAAUUUGCUGACGAGCGGCGGACGGGUGAGUAACGCGUAGGAAUCUGCCUGGUAGUGGGGGACAACAUGUGGAAACGCAUGCUAAUACCGCAUACGCCCUACGGGGGAAAGGAGGGGAUCUUCGGACCUUUCGCUAUCAGAUGAGCCUGCGUGAGAUUAGCUAGUUGGUGGGGUAAAGGCUCACCAAGGCGACGAUCUCUAGCUGGUCUGAGAGGAUGAUCAGCCACACUGGGACUGAGACACGGCCCAGACUCCCACGGGAGGCAGCAGUGGGGAAUAUUGGACAAUGGGCGCAAGCCUGAUCCAGCCAUGCCGCGUGUGUGAAGAAGGCCUUCGGGUUGUAAAGCACUUUCAGAGGUGAGGAAGGGUGUGCCGUUAAUACCGGUAUGCUUUGACGUUAGCCUCAGAAGAAGCACCGGCUAACUCUGUGCCAGCAGCCGCGGUAAUACAGAGGGUGCGAGCGUUAAUCGGAAUUACUGGGCAUAAAGCGCGCGUAGGUGGUUUGUUAAGUCGGAUGUGAAAGCCCAGGGCUCAACCUUGGAAUUGCACCCGAUACUGGCAAGCUAGAGUACGGUAGAGGGGUGUGGAAUUUCCUGUGUAGCGGUGAAAUGCGUAGAUAUAGGAAGGAACAUCAGUGGCGAAGGCGACA
rnacentral:rRNA from 1 species